GGGGGGGGGGCGCCUGGGCGCUGGGGGUGCACAGCCCGGCGCGUGGCAGGAGCGCGCCCUAAAAUGAGGGGCGUAAGUGCUUUGCCCCGCGGCCCCUUUUCUUCUCUCCAGUACGUGAGCCGUUUGGCUCUGCAGCGGUGUCUAACCGACCUUAAACUUUCCGCGACCCUAUUUCGGGAUGCUAGGGCUCAGGUCGGGGAGAGAAGGAGCCCAGGUCCCCACUCCACACCUCUCCCUGGCUCUUAAGAUACUCUCUAACUCCUCGGGAGGAUCGCAGUACCCAGCCGACCUUUGCGAACGUUUAACUCGGGGUUGCCCUGUGCAGAAAGCUUAGUCUGCGAGGUGCGCGAACCGGCCAGGGGUUUCCCCCACCAGUGGUGCCUGGGGACACCGUGCGUUUUGCCCUCGCGUGUACCGCGACUUUCCCGGGACCUCAGGUAAGGCGCAGAGAAGUCGUGGGGGAGGUGGCAUCUUCCCUGGGCCGCGUGCGAAAUCCGGGCUCCCCGCCCCCACCCGCGCACACACACCCCUUUUUCGCUGCCUCGCAGCUGUGUACGAACCGACACGGUCCUUGGCGACCAAGGGACUGGAACGGGCGUCGCGGAUUAUCACCGCCUCUGUCAGCAGCGCGGCGCGCGCCCGCAGACUAGUCCGCGCUAGCCGGGACCCCGCGUCGCGGAUUCACCGCCUCUGUCAGCAGCGCGGCGCGCGCCCGCAGACUAGUCCGCGCUAGCCGGGACCCCGGUCCGCUGCCUUAGCCCCGAAAAGGCCGUGUGGGGGCGGGGCGGGGCGGUGGGGUCAGAAGCGCGGUCUCGCGGGGGUGCGUUAGUGCGCCUCCCCUCCCCGGCCUCAUCGAAGUAAAUGAUUUUCCAAAGGUCAGUCUCCCUGUGCGCGUUUGGGCUCUGAUUUUUGUUUUGGGGUGGUUUUUUUUUAAUAUUUAUUUCUGUGCUUUUCCAGUUGGGGAAGGGAGAGGCGCCUGGGCAGAGCUGAACUGGGGUAGGGAGGUUCGUGGUAAAGCGGGGCUCGCAGGGACGGCGAGGGCUCUUCGCAAGCAGGGUUUCCUGGUCCUGGAACGCCCAUCCUUCUCGCUACCUUCCAACGAGGUUCUGGAUGUGCUCCUCAGUGUCUCCCGGAGCUGUCAUCAGAAAUUCUGUGAGUGCUGAGUGCUGCAGCUGAGCCCCAUCCAACAGAGAGGUGGCCGUGAAACUAUCCCAGUGCAUCCUCAGCCACCUCACUCACUGGAUCUGGCACCAUGUGGCUUCCGGCUCUCCCCCAAAGUCAAAGUGACCCUGAAAAGUGAACAUCUUGACUGAAUUCAGGACAUCUACACAGCCACAACCCCCCUACUAAGACACUCAGGAAAGGACCCCAGAACCGCUUCAGAAAGUGGCAAGAAUGAGGGGUGAGUGCGUUGGACAUGCGGGGUGGUGUUUUGGAGGGGAUCCAUGACAAUGUGUCUUUUACUGUAAAUCAUUAAAAUUUUAAACUUUCUGAUCACAUUCCAGGGACAGAAGCAAAUUGCAAACAGAGCAACUUCCAGCCAGCCCCUACCCCAGGCUCCCACUGAGACUUCCUCACUGGUGACCGUGCAGUGAGGAACCAGAGUACAGGACAGGAGACGUGGAAAAGGCAGGAGACACGCCUGAGACAGAGAUGGGGUCCGGAUCUUAGGGGCCGCUCGGGCAGAGCGCGACGCUGGUCUGGGGGUCCUGCUCCAUGCCCCUCCCCAGGGCCCAGACUCAAAGUCCUUCCCUCCUCCCCUCGCCCACUGCCACCCCAGGGGACAUGAAGUAGACCAAGAAGUAGGUGCCGCAGCCACUCAAGUAGCUUCCCCACGAUGACUCUGAGGGAGGAUCUCCCUUACUCCAAGCCACUUUCCACGUUUACUGAAUCACUUGUUUUUCAGUCUAUAACUUAAAUAUUGAACCAAAGUCUUAUGAAUCAUUGCAUUUUUUGUGUUCAAAUCACCUGCACGUGGCCAGAUCUCUCUGCUCUUAACAAAAAGCCCCUGCUUCGACCAACCCCCAGGUGGAGAAGGAGGAAAUGAUUAUUUGCUUUUGCCUAGAAAUAUGAGUCUGUUUGGGUCUCUCGGGUUUCCAUAAAAAUGACAAAUCCAAACAAAAAAAAAUGAGUUUGCCCUAACAAACAAGGUAUUCUGUGUAUAAAUAUUUAGGGGCAAGAUGUGAAUGCUAUGCUGGAAUUUCAAAAAUGGAUAAAAUACUGUUGGCAAAUCCUCAAUUGCUAUGAAAUCAAGCAUGAUACAGCUUGCUGAACAGAGAAAGAACAGUCUUCCUCCGAUGCCUUGUUACUCAAGAGUGCUGCCCUGCUUCCGGAUUUGCUUUUACCUACUUAAAAUAAACCCUGACUAAACCUGGGCAGGGUGGUACACACCUGUAAUCCCAGCACUGGGGAGGCUGAGACAGGAGGCUCUCAAAUUCAAACCCAGCCUGGGCAAUUUCAUGACUUAGCAAGACCCUGCCUCAAAAUAAAAAUAAAAAAUUCAAAAGAGCUGCAGGUGGGUUCAGUCCUCAGUCCUGAGAAAGAAAGACAGAAAGAGAAAGCUGGCUCAGUAGUGCUUUCUCCAUGCUCACAUUAAUAACAGUAAAUUCCCCGCUCUCUAGAGUCUUCUCUUUUUAACGAAUGGUGUCCGCAGCAUCGUUCAGGAGCUGUCAGGCUGCAGAGCAUAACAAAUGGGAUUGUGAUUAGAAAAUAAACUGGCCUUGGAUGAGGGACGCUGGAGGAGAGCCCGGAAGUGAAGCCAAGGGCAGUUCCUCAGGCCCUGGGCACUGCUGUCCCGCCUGAGACCUCUUUCUGCUCUCUACCUCCCCAGAUCCCACUGCAGAAACCACAGCUUCCCGCUGAGCAACUGGCGCAAGCCCAGGGCCCCCUCCAGCUUUCCAAAGGCUUCCAGAAAACAGCUCUUUGCUUCAUUGGAAUCCUGGAAACAAACUGUUCUACCAAGGGUUAAAUCUGUAAUAGUUGCUGGAUACUGUGGCACAUGCCUGGCAUCCCAGCACUCUGGGAGGCUGAGGCAGGAGGAUCGCAAAUGUAAACCUGGUCUGGGGAACUCAGGGACUUAGCAAGACCCUGUCUGAAAAUCAAAAAGGCUGAGGGUGAAACUCAGUAGGAAGAACAUGGGUUCAAUCCCCAGUGCCACAAAACAAUUUGUAGUGGUUAAGCUAUUACUGCAAUAACACUAGGACUUUCAAUUUGAGGUAUUUGUAAAAUGUUUUUUGGUUUAUUGAUACAGGUCUCACAGUUCAGGCUGGCCUUCAACUCUCUAUGUAGCCCAGGCUAGCUUUGAACUCACAGUAAUCCUCCUGCCUCAGCCUCCUGACUGCUAGAAUCACAGGUGUGUGCCACCAUGCCCAGCUAUGGAAUUUUCUUUAUAAUAAAGACAAAUACUUUCAUAAGUUUGGCAUUUUAUCGUAUUUCUUGCAAAUGAAGUGUUUGUUUCAAAGUGAAACCAAUCUGUUCCUCAGAGUAGAAGUGAAUGCUGAUUUUGUUAAGGUCCUGUACUCUUCUUCUUACUCUUUCCUCCCCCAAACAUUUGCUUCUUUUAACUAAAAUGACCAUAACUUUUGCAAUCAGGAAAUACUUUUUAAUUUGGGCAAUGUAUAAAGGAUGAUGAUGGGUGUAAUGUUAUUAGCUGUUUUAUGUUAAUAGUUCGAUUUCGGCCAGGUGUGGUGGCACACGCCUGUAAUCCCACCACUUGGGAGGCUGAGGCAGGAGGAUCACCAUGAGUUCAAGGGCAGCCUGGGCUACAUACUGAGACCCUGCCUCAAAAAAACAAAAGGGGGGGUGGAUUUAGCUCAGUGGUUCCGCCACCUGCCUUGAAAGCACAAGGUCCCAAGUUACCAGCUACCAAAAAAAAAAAGAAGAAGAAGAAAAAAGAAGUUCAAUUUUGGGUAUCUGUUCUCAGGACAA
rnacentral:lncRNA from 1 species